GUAACAAUGAUGUCCAACAGCCAAAAUAUAAUCCGCCAAUAUGCUUUGUCUGUUGAGUUCCUAACAAACUGCCAAAAUACAUUCUCUCCAAUGUUUCGUCACACUUUCCAGUCUGGAUCUGCCACUACCGUAUCAAGAAAUUAGCUAUAAGCCAAUAAAAGUGGGCGUGUUUCAUAGUAUCGCGAAGUUUAACCCCCAAUUUCUAGAGAUCACGCUACGCCUCUGAAAGCGGAGCUAGAAAGGCAUGCGCAUUUGCCGUUUGCAUGUAUACGCUGCAUGUAUAUGUAGGGUGCAUUUCUUUUAUCUAAUCCAGAUUAGGCAAAUUACUAAUCCGGGUAAUAAUAUUAUAAUCUGUGUAGUCUACCUACGCUCGGCCGGCGCCGACUGGAUUGUAAUUAGCAGAAAGAGUCGCUCGUUCUCAAAGCAAAGAAUUGCGAUGCAAAAGCGAUGAAUAGACAUGACGCACGCAGCUAGAAACUUUGUGUGGUACAUUAUGUUGGUCGACCUUCUAGUCCUAGAUAAGUAGGAGCAUACUUCUGAUAUAUUAGCUAAGAUGGGCGUGACAGUGCCGACGUCAUUGUCCCGUGUAUACAGCCCGGUUCGCUUUGGAUAUCUUGUCGUCUACUAACGGCGUAAACUAGCACGAAAGUGCAAUCGUCUCGUUUCGAAAUACCCAUUCUGCUUACAGCAAUACAGGGAAUCAAGUGAGGACUCACUAGGACCCUGAGAAAAGGAUCAAUCUUUUUGUGUUCUUGAUACGUGCUGCUGAAGACAAAUGUUGCACUGUUGCCAAACUUCCGCAGUUUAAAGUCGACAAAGGAGUGCAGUAUGGAAUAAACGUGUGUGAUGAUGAAGUCAUAACGUAUCAUAGAAGAAAGAAGAAAGCAGUACUCGAUGGAUUGCAGAUAAUCUAACUAAAAUGCAACAGAAUAAAAAGAACUUGGGAGCAAUACGUAGGAGGUGAGACAGAAAAAAGGAGCUUGAUACCUAUGCAGUGGUAAAGUGAGCUAUAUUAUGAGGGGGAAGGAGAUGACUCCUAAUCUGAACGAUCAUACUGGAAUAAGCACAAAACGUCUGCAUGAGGUGUAAACAGACGUUGUGUAGCAUUCUACUACAUACAAGUUACAUGUACUUGACCUGACUUACAUGUGCACUGUACUGACUGUAUGCAUUACCCUAGGCAAGAUGUUGACAACCAUACAAAACGUUAUAAGUUAACUUAUCGAACCUUUUGUCUAUCUGUAUAUAUGUUCUGUUCUCUCUAAUAAUGAUUCAGUUGACGCAGACUAUAAAAACGUGCAGUUCCAAAUACUUGGAAGGGAUAUCAGGGAACAUGUCAAUUCACAUGAAUUUCAUCUCCGCUGUGAAAUCUAUGUUCAACAGGAGGAUUAAACGUUGCCCGUGCUUUUUCCAUGAACGACAGAUGAUGGAACACUCAAACGAGUUAUUUAGGUGUUACAUUUUAGUAGACCUUACAUGCUUUGUGAGCGUUAUGUUUCUCUUUAGUGUAGUGCUGAACUGUACUUUCCACUUUCAAUUUUCAGUUGCUAUAGCAACUGUGCAAAUACACUUUGCUUUUUGCUAUGCAUAUGUAGUAGUAUACCCAAUUGAUGCCGGAUCCUGUGAUGUUUGAAAUAAAUUUUAGUA